rnacentral:lncRNA from 1 species
CUCCUUUGUCAUAAAGCCAGGUGUGGUGAUGACAGGCAAGCCGCUACAUCCCAGGCCCAGCAAGCAGACCUGGCACAUUGGCUACCACAUGAGGCCAACCUUGGGCACAGGGUAAGGGCUGGGCCUUUCUGGUCCUACAAAUCUGAACAAUCUGUAAGUUUAAUUUUGUCACCAUGGCAAGGCAAAUCAAAGGGACUCUGAGGAAGCCACACAGAAUGAAAGAACAGGGAACAACUUCGCUGACCUCGGUGGCUGUGAGCUCUAAAAUCUCAGCUGGCGACACCAAGCUUAUUUCUUUGAUCUUCAACUCUUUGUUCCUGACUGAUAAACUUUUCCUCUACCCCUUCCAACCUGUAUUUGUCUCUGGAUCACCCAGUCCUACUUACAGAUAUGUUUUCCAAAAUAUUGAAAUUGGAAGCAAGCAUUAUAUCCAAAAUCUCAUCACAAGUUCAAUGACAAUGGUACAUGCAAGAGGUAGCAACCUCAAAGGAUUGAGAACCAUCUCCAAGGUGUGAGUCUGGGCAACAUUUGUCUGUGAAAGGCUCACUUCUGAAACACAGGUAUCCUGGAAUUCUCCAACAAGUUGAAGCUCAACACAUUUUUGGUGAUCUCACUUGUGGGAAAUGGGUGGAUGUAACUGGCCCCACUAUGAAGACAAAUUUGUGGUCUAUGAUGACAGCAUGGCACAAACCUAC